GGGGGCGUCGUCUAGCUUGGCUAGGACGCGGGCUUUGGGAGCCCGUAACCUGGGUUCAAAUCCCAGCGCCCCCA
rnacentral:tRNA from 1 species